GGGUUGUGAGGUUAAGCGACUAAGCGUACACGGUGGAUGCCCUGGCAGUCAGAGGCGAUGAAGGACGUGCUAAUCUGCGAUAAGCGUCGGUAAGGUGAUAUGAACCGUUAUAACCGGCGAUUUCCGAAUGGGGAAACCCAGUGUGUUUCGACACACUAUCAUUAACUGAAUCCAUAGGUUAAUGAGGCGAACCGGGGGAACUGAAACAUCUAAGUACCCCGAGGAAAAGAAAUCAACCGAGAUUCCCCCAGUAGCGGCGAGCGAACGGGGAGCAGCCCAGAGCCUGAAUCAGUGUGUGUGUUAGUGGAAGCGUCUGGAAAGGCGCGCGAUACAGGGUGACAGCCCCGUACACAAAAAUGCACAUACUGUGAGCUCGAUGAGUAGGGCGGGACACGUGGUAUCCUGUCUGAAUAUGGGGGGACCAUCCUCCAAGGCUAAAUACUCCUGACUGACCGAUAGUGAACCAGUACCGUGAGGGAAAGGCGAAAAGAACCCCGGCGAGGGGAGUGAAAAAGAACCUGAAACCGUGUACGUACAAGCAGUGGGAGCACAGAGCAAUCUGUGUGACUGCGUACCUUUUGUAUAAUGGGUCAGCGACUUAUAUUCUGUAGCAAGGUUAACCGAAUAGGGGAGCCGAAGGGAAACCGAGUCUUAACUGGGCGUUAAGUUGCAGGGUAUAGACCCGAAACCCGGUGAUCUAGCCAUGGGCAGGUUGAAGGUUGGGUAACACUAACUGGAGGACCGAACCGACUAAUGUUGAAAAAUUAGCGGAUGACUUGUGGCUGGGGGUGAAAGGCCAAUCAAACCGGGAGAUAGCUGGUUCUCCCCGAAAGCUAUUUAGGUAGCGCCUCGUGAAUUCAUCUCCGGGGGUAGAGCACUGUUUCGGCAAGGGGGUCAUCCCGACUUACCAACCCGAUGCAAACUGCGAAUACCGGAGAAUGUUAUCACGGGAGACACACGGCGGGUGCUAACGUCCGUCGUGAAGAGGGAAACAACCCAGACCGCCAGCUAAGGUCCCAAAGUCAUGGUUAAGUGGGAAACGAUGUGGGAAGGCCCAGACAGCCAGGAUGUUGGCUUAGAAGCAGCCAUCAUUUAAAGAAAGCGUAAUAGCUCACUGGUCGAGUCGGCCUGCGCGGAAGAUGUAACGGGGCUAAACCAUGCACCGAAGCUGCGGCAGCGACACUGUGUGUUGUUGGGUAGGGGAGCGUUCUGUAAGCCUGUGAAGGUGUACUGUGAGGUAUGCUGGAGGUAUCAGAAGUGCGAAUGCUGACAUAAGUAACGAUAAAGCGGGUGAAAAGCCCGCUCGCCGGAAGACCAAGGGUUCCUGUCCAACGUUAAUCGGGGCAGGGUGAGUCGACCCCUAAGGCGAGGCCGAAAGGCGUAGUCGAUGGGAAACAGGUUAAUAUUCCUGUACUUGGUGUUACUGCGAAGGGGGGACGGAGAAGGCUAUGUUGGCCGGGCGACGGUUGUCCCGGUUUAAGCGUGUAGGCUGGUUUUCCAGGCAAAUCCGGAAAAUCAAGGCUGAGGCGUGAUGACGAGGCACUACGGUGCUGAAGCAACAAAUGCCCUGCUUCCAGGAAAAGCCUCUAAGCAUCAGGUAACAUCAAAUCGUACCCCAAACCGACACAGGUGGUCAGGUAGAGAAUACCAAGGCGCUUGAGAGAACUCGGGUGAAGGAACUAGGCAAAAUGGUGCCGUAACUUCGGGAGAAGGCACGCUGAUAUGUAGGUGAAGUCCCUCGCGGAUGGAGCUGAAAUCAGUCGAAGAUACCAGCUGGCUGCAACUGUUUAUUAAAAACACAGCACUGUGCAAACACGAAAGUGGACGUAUACGGUGUGACGCCUGCCCGGUGCCGGAAGGUUAAUUGAUGGGGUCAGCGCAAGCGAAGCUCUUGAUCGAAGCCCCGGUAAACGGCGGCCGUAACUAUAACGGUCCUAAGGUAGCGAAAUUCCUUGUCGGGUAAGUUCCGACCUGCACGAAUGGCGUAAUGAUGGCCAGGCUGUCUCCACCCGAGACUCAGUGAAAUUGAACUCGCUGUGAAGAUGCAGUGUACCCGCGGCAAGACGGAAAGACCCCGUGAACCUUUACUAUAGCUUGACACUGAACAUUGAGCCUUGAUGUGUAGGAUAGGUGGGAGGCUUAGAAGUGUGGACGCCAGUCUGCAUGGAGCCGACCUUGAAAUACCACCCUUUAAUGUUUGAUGUUCUAACGUUGACCCGUGAUCCGGGUUGCGGACAGUGUCUGGUGGGUAGUUUGACUGGGGCGGUCUCCUCCUAAAGAGUAACGGAGGAGCACGAAGGUUGGCUAAUCCUGGUCGGACAUCAGGAGGUUAGUGCAAUGGCAUAAGCCAGCUUGACUGCGAGCGUGACGGCGCGAGCAGGUGCGAAAGCAGGUCAUAGUGAUCCGGUGGUUCUGAAUGGAAGGGCCAUCGCUCAACGGAUAAAAGGUACUCCGGGGAUAACAGGCUGAUACCGCCCAAGAGUUCAUAUCGACGGCGGUGUUUGGCACCUCGAUGUCGGCUCAUCACAUCCUGGGGCUGAAGUAGGUCCCAAGGGUAUGGCUGUUCGCCAUUUAAAGUGGUACGCGAGCUGGGUUUAGAACGUCGUGAGACAGUUCGGUCCCUAUCUGCCGUGGGCGCUGGAGAACUGAGGGGGGCUGCUCCUAGUACGAGAGGACCGGAGUGGACGCAUCACUGGUGUUCGGGUUGUCAUGCCAAUGGCACUGCCCGGUAGCUAAAUGCGGAAGAGAUAAGUGCUGAAAGCAUCUAAGCACGAAACUUGCCCCGAGAUGAGUUCUCCCUGACCCUUUAAGGGUCCUGAAGGAACGUUGAAGACGACGACGUUGAUAGGCCGGGUGUGUAAGCGCAGCGAUGCGUUGAGCUAACCGGUACUAAUGAACCGUGAGGCUUAACCUUACAACGCCGAAGCUGUU
rnacentral:rRNA from 1 species